AACCAUCCUGGGCACUCGGGUUUGCCCAGCCUGGGGACCACCCCACCACCCUUUUCCCUGCCAUGUCUGUUGCCCUGUGUUUGUGUAGGACCUACGCAAAAUCCAUCCUGGCACUGCUCCUCCUUCCGCCCAGGGUCCCCCCGUGGCAGACAUGUUGGGUGGCCAGCCAGCCAAGCAGUGAUGGAGCCCAUGGGUGCCAGGGGGGCUCCAAAGGGAAGGGCUCUGUGCUGGGAGGCCUUUGGAGCUGUUGGGCUGUGGGACCUACGGCCCUUUGGGUGUGCACUCUGCAGGGAAGGGUUGUGGUCUUGGGGCAGGGGCGCUUGGAAGGGCCGUCUGCCAGGUUUGUGCUGGGCUGUGCAGCUGUUUGGGGAAAGGCAGAAGAGCUACGCUCAUCUGAGGUCGAGUCACCCCAAAAUUGGGCUUCCUGAGAGGACAAAGCAGCUGCAGGAGCAGACCCUGUCCAUUGUAAGGCCUGUGAAUGUCAAACUGCUUGCUCUUCCCACUGCCUCCCACUGGGGCCAGUGGCCGCCAUCCUCUUCCCCCGGCAAUGGAAGAGCUUCAUGUCAGAGACCCAUGACGUGUCAGAGACCCGUGACGUCUCACUGGUGGGGAUUCAGUCUUGGGAUUUGGCCAAAUAAUGUGAUUUUUUAUUAGGGGGCACAGGGCUGCCUCUCUCCCUAGAGCAGCUUGGGCUGUUGUGCUGGAUUCGAGGGAAAGCGGGUCCGUAUUUUGCUCUUGGCCAGGCCAUCUGGCAGGAGCUUUCACCCCUGGCUCCCCACCCUCCAGUUCUGACGAGCAUUUACCAGCCCUGCGGCCAGCCCUGCCGUGACCCUUCUACCACCUUCCCCCUUCUCAGGGCUACCCCUCCGCUCCCCCUCCGACCCUUCGAAAGAGGCUCGGCGUUUGUCUGCCGAAUAAAUAUUUAACAAUGAAUUGAAUGGUGAUUACUGUAAAAUGGGGAUGAUUUCCUGUGUAUUUUAAUGUUGCCAAAAUGAGUCACCAUUUAGCAAUAAAAAAACCCGAAGAAGUCAUAAAUAAAAAUUGCAGUAUAAUUACUUUCCAAUUGGAUGGCCAGGCCUGGGAGUGGGGUGAGGGGGUGCAGCUCUGUAUAGAGAGGAGCCAGUCUGAGCUCACAGGAAGGUUAUUUUCCUCUCCAGGCUUUUUGGGGGAAAACCAGGGACCUCCACGGAGGUGCCAGCAGCUCCACCACACACGCUGGAAGGGGAAAGACCCAGUCAGUCUUUUAGAGAAGCGCUUUUCUGCUUCUAUUUAUAGGGAGUCAUUUUGGUUUCCCUCUGCCAGGGUGGGGAGCCACUUCGGGAGGGCUGUGCAGGGCUGGGAUGGGGUUCUCAUGUGCAUCUCCCAGGAGCCUUAGCCAGGGACCGAAACUAUUUUUCCAGGUCCUUUUCCAGGACACUUUGAUCUCAUUUAUUCCCGCUCUUGCUGCAUGUUUUUUUUUGUUGUUGCUGCCGUUGUUAUGGCUGGAUGUUCGCCGCUUCUUGCGGAUGCACACUGCUAAUGACCUGGCAGAAAUCUGCCAAUACCUAGGCUGGAUUUUGGCCCUGGCUUGAAAUUUUAGGAUAUGUGGCCAGACACCAAAAGUGUUAGACGGCUGUAUCGUAGAGCCAUGGAAUUAUUUCGUGACCUUGGCCAAAUCUCUCGGUACCUCCAUCGCCGCGUUAUCUUAAUUUCCUUUCUCUGUGAUGAUAAGCUUGUCUCUUCCCGCUGGGCGCGUGGCUCAGUUGGGUGCACGGAGUCUGGGUCAAUGAAGGACAGCACCAAGCUGGGGUACAGUGUGCCCAAAGGAUCCUCCCUGUAGUUGAAUCAGUUCUUCCAUGAAGUGGCUGGAGUACGGAUGAACCCCUGGGAAAAGCACCCAGCGGGUUGCCAGCCCUUGCUCCACGGCCAUGGCUAGGUCUCUGGCUGAAAGCUGCCGGUUGCCAGCCAGCAAGGAAGGGGGCCUCGCCUCGUCGGCUCCCCAUUUAGGGUGCAUGAGCUCAGCUGGUGACGGCUUCCUGCCUGCGGGAACCGGGCCGGGAUUCCUGGCUGCUUGCUCACCCUGCAGCGGCGGUGAGCCGCACUUGGAGCAUCCCGAGAAAAGGUGGACUGGGACUGGGGGGCAGAUGAGUAACGCUGGGCUUGGGAGGUCCGGGGGAGGCCCCAUUGUGAGAGGUUUGUUCCAUGUGUGGCUUGUGUUCAGAAAGCCGUUAAUUGAGAAAUGAGUCAAAGUUGGGAGGAUCGGAGCCCUGACCUUGGUGUGGGGGACUCACAAGUGUGGGGGUUGCAACAUCAACUCACUGUGGAGGGGAUGUCCCCCAUGGUCUGGAGGAGGGACUGGAGCCUACAAAUAUGUUCCCCAUAAACUCUGCUUUUUUAGCAUUUAUUCCUCUGGCUGUGUUGCCAACCUGCCUCGAAGGGCACCUUACCCCUGGUUACAGACCGGUUUGAAGGGGAAAAGGAGCUCAAAACUCCUUGGGGACAGCACCAGCACUUUGUCAGCUGAGGUGGCAGCUGGGGCAGAAGUGCUCUGGCUGGGUGAAGGAGGCUGGAGGUGGGUGUCUGCUGGAGGAAAGGGGGUGUCUGUGCAGGGUUUGCCUGAAGUGGAACAUGCGCCUGGUGGGUUUGGGGGAAGGACCCCGCUCAGCGUUAGCUGCUGCACAAACCCGCAGAGCCCUGGCUCGGAAUUAGUUGAACUCCAUGGUGCAACUGUAAUACAAACAGUAAAUAAAAUAUGUGGUUAAUCUUUCUUUCGUGGGCGUAUAAAGCGCUUACCUCCCCUUCCCCCCGUGAGAUGUUUUCUCCUUUGUUUCCUGUUUUUGUAGCGCUUAAAGAGGAGAGGGGGGAAGAAAAGCCAACAAGGCACCCUCUUUUCUUUUUCUCUUUUUUUUUUCUUCCGAUUUUGUUUGUGUCAAUGUCUCAAAGUGAAACAGUUUUUCUUCCAUCUUUGCCUUUGCUGCCCCAACCACGUGCCUCCUGCCUGCAUGGGGGAACCUGCUUCUAAGGCUGAAAAAGAAAGUUGCUCCAUGUACUCUGUGUUGAUACCA